UCUUCAAAAGAUUUGUUAUGUUGUUUUCAUUUGAAAAGUUCAGGGUGUCUUCACACUCAGAAGAGGUCAUAAAAUUUAAAAUCUUUUUUUUUCCUUAAAAUGUUGAUGUAGCCAUCUUCCCAGACAAGCAGGUCCCCUGUCUAAAGGGUGACAUAGAUCUGCCAUCAGACAGACAGAGAGAAAGGCAAGCAGGCACCAAGGUCUCUUGUGGUUGCCACACAGGACUAGUCCAGAACCUCCUGUCCUCAUCCCCCCACUGUCCUCGCUAUCGUCCUUUGUUUCUGUUUGGUGAACCCAAGGGUUCGGGUUAAUGAAAAGGGCUUGGACAACCGAGUGGAGCGACAGUCAUCUCCCAGUUAACUCGAUUCACCUCCAGCCUUCAGAGACCUUUUCUCCGUGACAGCCUCCCCACCAUGUCGGCCUCUGUCCCCCAGGUCGCUCUGUGCUGCCUGUUGGCCGCCGUAGCUUUGGAAGAAGUGUCUGGAGUGUUGGAGCCUCUUUUUUUUUUUUUUUGGAUGAUGAAAAGAAUGCAUGAGAGCUGGUUCUCCAAAAGCCUCGCAACUUAUGCAGAGAAGCUUGAUUGCCUUCAGGUCGUGUCAAGGAGCAGGCAGACCGAAAAUAAAGAUCAGCUUCACACCCUGAA